rnacentral:lncRNA from 1 species
AAGCCUUCCACACACUUCUACAUAAAUAUCUAGGUACUAGAAGGUUUCCUAUUUAUUUAUUUUAAAUUCCUAUUCUAGAGUAUUCCAAAGCUUUUACAUAAUUCUUCAUGCAUAUCUAAACACUAGAAGGUUCCCUCUUUUAUUUAUUUUAUAUUCUAGAGUAUUCCAUAGUAAUGUCUUCUUUCUUGUAAUAUUGAGAACAUUCU